rnacentral:pre_miRNA from 1 species
AAUCGCAUCUACGUCUGCGCGAUGUCAGGGUACGCGCCAGGAAAUCACGUCCACGUCAGCGCGAGUUGCUGACGUGGAAGAAAAUCGCUCCCUCAAGGACGCGAUUCCUUCUACGUCAGCAACUCGCGCUGACGUGGACGCGAUUUCCUGGCGCGUACCCUGACAUCGCGCUGACGUGGACGCGAUU